AUGCAUCAAAUGUCACUAGGUCUUUAUCGCUUUUUAGCGACCAUUGGAAGAACACCAAUAGUAUCAAAUAUACUAGGGACGCAAGCUCUAGUUGCAAUCUUCAUACUUGGAGGCUUCAUCAUAUCAAAAGAUGACCUCCAACCAUGGUUGAGCUGGGGUUAUUGGGCUUCCCCAUUCACCUACGCCCUCAAUGCUCUAGCUUUGAACGAAUAUCUUGACAAAAGAUGGGCUAAGGAGUUCCAUUUUGAAAAUGCUAAGACUAUUGGAGAAGCUAUUCUGAAGGUCAGGGGUUUGCUCGGUGAAUGGCAAUGGUAUUGGAUUUGUGUAGUAGUUUUAUUUGGAUUUGCACUGAUCUUCAACAUCCUGAGCAUAUUGGCAUUAGAGUUCUUAAACUCUCCACACAAGCACCAAAGUAAUAUCAAGUCACAAGGGAGACAAUCUUUAGAGUACGACGGUCAAGUAAUAGUUGGUGGGAAGGCUUCAACUGAUCAAGCUAGCAUCCCGUUCCAACCGCUGUGUUUUGUAUUUAAAAAAAUCAACUAUUUUGUUGACAUGCCUAAAGAGAUGAAAAAAUUUGGAGCAACCGAAACAAGGCUUCAGCUGUUACGAGAUGUUAGUGGCUCAUUCAGACCAGGAGUCCUAACAGCGUUGAUGGGGAUCACUGGUGCUGGGAAAACAACAUUACUUGAUGUUUUGGCAGGAAGAAAAACCGGAGGUUACAUCGAAGGUACUAUUAACAUAGGCGGCUACCAAAAACAGCAAGAUACAUGCUCAAGGAUUACUGGUUAUUGUGAGCAAACCGACAUACACUCUCCUCACUUGACAGUCUAUGAGUCACUUCUAUUCUCUGCAUACCUUCGCCUACCUUCAUAUGUGAAACCUUAUCAACGAGAUAUGUUUGUGGAAGAAAUUAUGGAACUAGUAGAGCUAAACAGCUUGAGGAAUGCAAUGGUGGGCAUUCCUGGGGUGACAGGUCUAUCAGCCGAGCAACGAAAAAGACUUACAAUAGCGGUGGAGCUUGUGGCAAGCCCUUCUAUUAUGUUCAUGGAUGAGCCAACAACUGGUUUAGAUGCUCGUGCUGCAGCAAUUGUCUUGCAUACAGUACGAAAGUUGGUGGACACUGGGCGCACUAUUGUUUGCACAAUUCAUCAACCGAAUAUUCAUUUAUUCGAAUCUUUUGACGAGCUGCUACUUAUGAAACAAGGAGGUCAACUCAUUUAUAGCGGUUCUCUAGGAUCACUAUCUAGAAAUUUGACAAAAUAUUUCGAGGUUAUUCCCGCUGUUCCUAGAAUCAAGGAUGGUCAAAAUCCAGCUUCAUGGGUGUUAGACAUUAGCUCACAUGCCAUGGAGUGUACAAUUGGAGUGGACUACGUACAAAUUUAUGAGAACUCCAACUUAUAUAAGGAGAACAUGGCUUUGGUUGAUGAGCUGAGCAAACCAAAUACAAACCAGGAAGAUCUACAAUUCACAUCCAAAUAUUGGCGAGACACUAAAACUCAAUGCAUGACAUGUAUAUGGAAACAAUAUUGCUCUUACAGAAAAAACUCAGAGCUAAAUAUAUUUCGCUUUCUAAAUACAUUUGCAAUCUCAAUCAUGUUUGGCGUUGUGUUCUGGCAAAUUGGGUCAACAAUUAAGGUGGAGCAAGAUGUGUUCAACAUACUGGGAAUUGGAUAUGGAUCAGCCCUAUUUCUCGGUUCCAUGAACUGCAAUAGUUUACAACCAGUCGUGGCGAUGGAGAGAGUUGUUUUCUAUAGAGAAAAAGCUUCUGGCAUGUACUCCUCAAUGGCGUUUGUAAUUGGUCAGGUAGCAGCUGAAAUUCCUUACAUUGUUAUUCAACCACUCAUUUUCUCAGCAAUUGUGUACCCAAUGGUAGGGUUCCAGAUGACAUUUGAAAAAUUCAUAUGGUUUGUCAUGUACAUGAUACUAAGCUUCAUGGACUACACACUCUACGGGAUGAUGGCUGUUGCACUGACACCCAGUCCAGAGAUAGCUGCUGGGCUAUCCUUCCUCAUCUUCAUGAUAUGGAAUUUCUUCUCGGGCUUCAUCAUUACACGGAAGGCGAUGCCCAUGUGGUGGAGGUGGAUGUACUGGGCCGAUCCAGCAGCAUGGACCCUAUAUGGGCUUGUGUCUUCACAGCUCGGCGACCACACGGAACUAAUCCGUGUGUUGGGCCAGCCAGACCAACCAGUGAUGAAGUUUUUGGAGGAGUACUUAGGCCUUGAAAAUGGCUACUUUCCCCUAGUCACAGCUCUUCACUUUGUGCUAAGCAUGUUCUUCUGUUUUAUCUUCUGUGUUGGCAUCAAGUAUAUCAAGUUUCAAAAAAGAUAG
rnacentral:rRNA from 1 species